GGUCCCGUAGCUCAACAGGACAGAGCACCUGCCUUCUAAGCAGGGGGUUGGAGGUUCGAGCCCUCCCGGGAUCG
rnacentral:tRNA from 1 species